rfam:Fukomys damarensis contig115213, whole genome shotgun sequence.
GUGGCUUCCAGACCUUUUGAUGGAGAUCAAAUGUAGUGUCCCUUCUUAUCAGUUUAAUAUCUGGUAUGUACUCUGUGCAAGGACAAUAUAUUAAGUGGAUUUUUGGAGCUGUUGUCAUAGGAUAAGAGCUUGCUGCAUCCACUCCGUACAUUGACCUGCUAUUACAGAUCCUCCAGGAACCCCCAU